CAAUAUAUGAGACCGGCGCACGGGUGCGUAACGCGUAUGCAACCUACCUUUUACAGGGGGAUAGCCCAGAGAAAUUUGGAUUAAUACCCCAUGGUAUAUUUUAGUGGCAUCACUAGAUUAUUAAAGUUCCAACGGUAAAAGAUGGGCAUGCGUCCUAUUAGCUAGAUGGUAAGGUAACGGCUUACCAUGGCUACGAUAGGUAGGGGUCCUGAGAGGGAGAUCCCCCACACUGGUACUGAGACACGGACCAGACUCCUACGGGAGGCAGCAGUGAGGAAUAUUGGACAAUGGGCGCAAGCCUGAUCCAGCCAUGCCGCGUGCAGGAAGAAGCAUCUAUGGUGUGUAAACUGCUUUUGUACAGGAAGAAACACUCCCUCGUGAGGGAGCUUGACGGUACUGUAAGAAUAAGGAUCGGCUAACUCCGUGCCAGCAGCCGCGGUAAUACGGAGGAUCCAAGCGUUAUCCGGAAUCAUUGGGUUUAAAGGGUCCGUAGGCGGUUUGGUAAGUCAGUGGUGAAAGCCCAUCGCUCAACGGUGGAACGGCCGUUGAUACUGCCAGACUUGAAUUACUGGGAAGUAACUAGAAUAUGUAGUGUAGCGGUGAAAUGCUUAGAGAUUACAUGGAAUACCAAUUGCGAAGGCAGGUUACUACCAGUGGAUUGACGCUGAUGGACGAAAGCGUGGGGAGCGA
rnacentral:rRNA from 1 species